rnacentral:rRNA from 1 species
UGGGGAAUAUUGCGCAAUGGGGGAAACCCUGACGCAGCAACGCCGCGUGAAGGAUGAAGGUUUUCGGAUUGUAAACUUCUUUGACGAGGGACGAACAAAAUGACGGUACCUCGAAAACAAGCUCCGGCUAACUACGUGCCAGCAGCCGCGGUAAUACGUAGGGAGCAAGCGUUGUCCGGAUUUACUGGGUGUAAAGGGCGAGUAGGCGGGAUUGCAAGUCAGAUGUGAAAACUAUCGGCUUAACUGAUAGACUGCAUUUGAAACUGUGAUUCUUGAGUGAUGGAGAGGCAGGCGGAAUUCCUAGUGUAGCGGUGAAAUGCGUAGAUAUUAGGAGGAACACCAGUGGCGAAGGCGGCCUGCUGGACAUUAACUGACGCUGAGGCGCGAAAGCGUGGGGAGCAAACAGG